rnacentral:lncRNA from 1 species
AUGGACCUUGUAUUUUAUGUUUUCUCUUUACCCAGGAAACACCUCCUCUCGGAUCUUGCUUUUCCCUUUCCCACCGCAAUUUUGCUGCUUGAUGUUUUUCUCCCGAGGCCUCCAUGUCUGAGUUCCCGCUUCGCUAUUUCAUUUAUAUGCUCCACACUCAGGAAGAGUCACCACUUCACAUAUGAUGGCCAUGAAGACGAGAGUGAACUACUCUCCCACAGAUAGUAAGUAGCCAUUAGGGUUGGAACUUAGCUCUAAAUCCCUGGAUUCUUAUUCCAGCAAAGGCUACCUUAAGAUUGUUUACACCAGCCUUCUGACUUACAGCCUAAAGAAUCAUCAAAACCUUUGUGUAAUCAAAAUUGAAUUCAUGAGUAUUCUCUAAUAUACAUAGAUAUUAUAUACAAUGUAUAUAUAUAUUAUGUAGCACCAAAGCCUUUAUCAUCCAAGAACAUGUCAUAAUUAUUUUCUUGAAAAUGUAAGACAAAAAUUUUUAAGAGGCAAUUUAGCCAUUUUGGUGUCUUACCUUUGGAAUAAAAUAUGAUUUGAUAGAUCCUCAAUUUCUAGCUAAUUUGUCUUUUCCUACCACCAGCACGUGGAAGAGGCUCAAAACACUGCAGUUCCGGGAAGAAAAUGUUUGUCUUUCUCCAUAGCACUUCCUUUUGAGGGAGUUGUUUAUUUAGUAAUCAGAAUCAGACUCUUUUUUGCAGGGUUGGCAAGUGGCUACCAGUUUAGAGUCUGUUCUGAUUUGAUUAAUUGGACCACAAAGAAGACACUGGAGCCGAACUGAGUAGAAAUUUCCUUUUUUUUCGAAACUAAACAUGUGGGCUUUGCUGCAUUUUUUUUUUUUUUUGCCUGUGUACAUGAGACCACAGCAUUACAUGGUCCUAAAUCCACUGUUGAAUUGAGAAUGUUUUGUGUUUUAUUUUGUGAUAGAACCUUCUAUUCCUGAUGGUUAACUUUUUGAAUUUUCGAUGCCAACCUCGCGAUAGAUGGAAUGUUCAGACUCGGGAUGACAGGUCUGUGACGGGUCCUUGUUGUGGCUGGCGGGCCUUCCCAUGUGUCACAGGAUGCCAUGUGGUCAGGUUAUGCAGACCAUGGUUUCCCAGGCAACCGAAUCACGGCCCAUGGGGGUUCCUUGGGAAGCUGAAAAAAAGAUGUUGG